rnacentral:rRNA from 1 species
AUUGAACGCUGGCGGCAUGCCUUACACAUGCAAGUCGAACGGCAGCACGGGAGCAAUCCUGGUGGCGAGUGGCGAACGGGUGAGUAAAGUAUCGGAACGUGCCCAGUCGUUGGGGAUAACGUAGCGAAAGUUACGCUAAUACCGCAUACGAUCUAUGGAUGAAAGCGGGGGAUCGCAAGACCUCGCGCGAUUGGAGCGGCCGAUAUCAGAUUAGGUAGUUGGUGGAGUAAAGGCUCACCAAGCCGACGAUCUGUAGCUGGUCUGAGAGGACGACCAGCCACACUGGGACUGAGACACGGCCCAGACUCCUACGGGAGGCAGCAGUGGGGAAUUUUGGACAAUGGGCGAAAGCCUGAUCCAGCCAUGCCGCGUGCAGGAUGAAGGCCUUCGGGUUGUAAACUGCUUUUGUACGGAACGAAAAGGUUUGGCCUAAUAAGCUGAGCUCAUGACGGUACCGUAAGAAUAAGCACCGGCUAACUACGUGCCAGCAGCCGCCGUAA